rnacentral:lncRNA from 1 species
GAAAGCUUUGGCUGCUCUAUGUGUCAGACAAUUUCAUCACAAUGCUAUUUUGAUACAUCAUCAUGAAGUACUGUGAUUUUAGGUUGUUGAAAAGCUAGGCUAGCAACAUGUUCACCGUGCCAGGAAUGGCCAAAGUGUGCUUUAUCAACUGAAUUUGCGGUUCUGUCAUCUGAGGAACAGCCUCAAUAAAGUGGCAGAAAGUCAUUACUGGAAAGCUAGCCACCAGAUGAAGAUCCGUGAUUUCACUGACCGUGAGCACUCCCUGGAAGAGAAAUCAAUCAACGAAUGUUCUCUUUA